rnacentral:rRNA from 2 species
CACUAUCGUUAACUGAAUACAUAGGUUAACGAGGCGAACCGGGGGAACUGAAACAUCUAAGUACCCCGAGGAAAAGAAAUCAACCGAGAUUCCCCCAGUAGCGGCGAGCGAACGGGGAGCAGCCCAGAGUCUGAAUCAGCUUGUGUGUUAGUGGAACGGUCUGGAAAGUCCGACGGUACAGGGUGAUAGUCCCGUACACCAAAAUGCACAGGCUGUGAACUCGAAGAGUAGGGCGGGACACGUGGUAUCCUGUCUGAAUAUGGGGGGACCAUCCUCCAAGGCUAAAUACUCCUGACUGACCGAUAGUGAACCAGUACCGUGAGGGAAAGGCGAAAAGAACCCCGGCGAGGGGAGUGAAAAAGAACCUGAAACCGUGUACGUACAAGCAGUGGGAGCACCUUCGGGUGUGACUGCGUACCUUUUGUAUAAUGGGUCAGCGACUUAUAUUCUGUAGCAAGGUUAACCGUAUAGGGGAGCCGCAGGGAAACCGAGUCUUAACUGGGCGUUAAGUUGCAGGGUAUAGACCCGAAACCCGGUGAUCUAGCCAUGGGCAGGUUGAAGGUUGGGUAACACUAACUGGAGGACCGAACCGACUAAUGUUGAAAAAUUAGCGGAUGACUUGUGGCUGGGGGUGAAAGGCCAAUCAAACCGGGAGAUAGCUGGUUCUCCCCGAAAGCUAUUUAGGUAGCGCCUCGUGAACUCAUCUUCGGGGGUAGAGCACUGUUUCGGCUAGGGGGUCAUCCCGACUUACCAACCCGAUGCAAACUACGAAUACCGAAGAAUGUUAUCACGGGAGACACACGGCGGGUGCUAACGUCCGUCGUGAAGAGGGAAACAACCCAGACCGCCAGCUAAGGUCCCAAAGUCAUGGUUAAGUGGGAAACGAUGUGGGAAGGCACAGACAGCCAGGAUGUUGGCUUAGAAGCAGCCAUCAUUUAAAGAAAGCGUAAUAGCUCACUGGUCGAGUCGGCCUGCGCGGAAGAUGUAACGGGGCUAAACCAUGCACCGAAGCUGCGGCAGCGACACUAUGUGUUGUUGGGUAGGGGAGCGUUCUGUAAGCCUGCGAAGGUGACCUGUGAGGGUUGCUGGAGGUAUCAGAAGUGCGAAUGCUGACAUAAGUAACGAUAAAGCGGGUGAAAAGCCCGCUCGCCGGAAGACCAAGGGUUCCUGUCCAACGUUAAUCGGGGCAGGGUGAGUCGACCCCUAAGGCGAGGCCGAAAGGCGUAGUCGAUGGGAAACAGGUUAAUAUUCCUGUACUUGGUGUUACUGCGAAGGGGGGACGGAGAAGGCUAUGUUAGCCGGGCGACGGUUGUCCCGGUUUAAGCAUGUAGGCUGGUUGUCCAGGCAAAUCCGGAUAAUCAAGGCUGAGGUGUGAUGACGAGGCACUACGGUGCUGAAGUAACAAAUGCCCUGCUUCCAGGAAAAGCCUCUAAGCAUCAGGUAACAUUAAAUCGUACCCCAAACCGACACAGGUGGUCAGGUAGAGAAUACCAAGGCGCUUGAGAGAACUCGGGUGAAGGAACUAGGCAAAAUGGUGCCGUAACUUCGGGAGAAGGCACGCUGGUGUGUAGGUGAAGUCCCUGCGGAUGGAGCUGAGACCAGUCGAAGAUACCAGCUGGCUGCAACUGUUUAUUAAAAACACAGCACUGUGCAAACACGAAAGUGGACGUAUACGGUGUGACGCCUGCCCGGUGCCGGAAGGUUAAUUGAUGGGGUUAUCCGUAAGGAGAAGCUCUUGAUCGAAGCCCCGGUAAACGGCGGCCGUAACUAUAACGGUCCUAAGGUAGCGAAAUUCCUUGUCGGGUAAGUUCCGACCUGCACGAAUGGCGUAAUGAUGGCCAGGCUGUCUCCACCCGAGACUCAGUGAAAUUGAACUCGCUGUGAAGAUGCAGUGUACCCGCGGCAAGACGGAAAGACCCCGUGAACCUUUACUAUAGCUUGACACUGAACAUUGAGCCUUGAUGUGUAGGAUAGGUGGGAGGCUUUGAAGCGUGGACGCCAGUCUGCGUGGAGCCAACCUUGAAAUACCACCCUUUAAUGUUUGAUGUUCUAACGUUGGCCCCUGACCGGGGUUGCGGACAGUGUCUGGUGGGUAGUUUGACUGGGGCGGUCUCCUCCCAAAGCGUAACGGAGGAGCACGAAGGUUAGCUAAUCCUGGUCGGACAUCAGGAGGUUAGUGCAAUGGCAUAAGCUAGCUUGACUGCGAGCGUGACGGCGCGAGCAGGUGCGAAAGCAGGUCAUAGUGAUCCGGUGGUUCUGAAUGGAAGGGCCAUCGCUCAACGGAUAAAAGGUACUCCGGGGAUAACAGGCUGAUACCGCCCAAGAGUUCAUAUCGACGGCGGUGUUUGGCACCUCGAUGUCGGCUCAUCACAUCCUGGGGCUGAAGUAGGUCCCAAGGGUAUGGCUGUUCGCCAUUUAAAGUGGUACGCGAGCUGGGUUUAGAACGUCGUGAGACAGUUCGGUCCCUAUCUGCCGUGGGCGCUGGAGAAUUGAGGGGGGCUGCUCCUAGUACGAGAGGACCGGAGUGGACGCAUCACUGGUGUUCGGGUUGUCAUGCCAAUGGCACUGCCCGGUAGCUAAAUGCGGAAGAGAUAAGUGCUGAAAGCAUCUAAGCACGAAACUUGCCCCGAGAUGAGUUCUCCCUGAGACUUUAAGUCUCCUGAAGGAACGUUGAAGACGACGACGUUGAUAGGCCGGGUGUGUAAGCGCAGCGAUGCGUUGAGCUAACCGGUACUAAUGAACCGUGAGGCUUAACCUU